ACCUCUUUCACUUGUAGCGCUAACAUUACAAAGAGUACAGUUCCACUCUUCCUUGGGUAUCUUCUUCAAACCAGCGUCAGGGAGCCCAACAGCACCUUGUUCAGGUGGUGCUGCAGCCUUCCGCUUUGCCCCACAAAGAUUUGAAUUUGGCUUAGCCUGCAACAGAAUACUCACAGCACAUAACCGAAAGUCAUACAACAUUAAUUGCUGGAUGAAUGGUGACAAAGUAGCACUUACAAGCAAGAAACUUUCUUAUUCAAUUCUGAAUAAAUCACAACAAGAAGGGCGAUAUUCAUAAACAUUACUGUAUCAGAUAUCACAAUUGAUUACUGCACAAUGGUCCACACUCAAAAAAUCAGAUGGAUCAUUACAGUUUAUGGUUUGCCUGAGUUGCCACUGCUUAUGAGAUCAAGGUGGCACUGAAAGUUCUUUAUUAUUCACACCAGUGAUUAAUUACCACAUCUUUUCCAUUGCUUGAUGGGAAAAGAAAAAAGAAAUAACUGGCAACAUAAAAAUUGAAAAAAUAAAAAAAAUCCAAACAAUUUAAAAGAAUACAUAAAAAAAUAAAUAAAAAGACAAAACUAUUAGAUCAAUUGUGUUGUUUAAGAACUGCAAGCUGCAGUUGCGAUGCCAGCCAUGGUAUUGUUCCACAUGUUCAUGAGUCCCACCAUUACGAAAGCAGAGUGGGUCCAACUGCAUAACAUGGAUCAAUGACAGGUGUUGGGUGCUAGUUAUUACUGAUAGCAUUGCAAAUACUAGUAUACUAUAGAAAUGUUGAAAAAUAAACGUCCUUUCAUUGAAUUAAAUAUGUUGGCACCAAAGCAAAAUUUUGGUUGAAAACCAAAUUUCAAUACAAACUUGUUAUAAAACCAUGCACUACAGCCAAAAGUUUGUGACCAUUAAAUUGUGGUAUAAACUAAAUCAAGUGAAGAGGAUCCACCAUAAAAAUUGUAUGAUUCAAACACCAAUGGCCUCAUAACCACAUUUGUAAAGGCUAUAUGAUUGACAACAAGAAACAUAUAAAUCCUAACUUAUUAGAAUACAGUUCUAAUAAUGUGUGAGAAAAUCCAUGUUCUAUUUCUUAGUCCUUUUUCACUUGCAAUAUGAAUCUCCUACAAUAGAAUUUACUGUUUACAGCUGUGAGAGAACCCAAAAUUUUACCUUAACUUUGGUGCAAAUAUUGUAUGCCUAAUAAUUAGUUUUCCAAUCAUAGAAGUCAAUUCCCAAUAUGCAGAAGAACUACAAUAAACAAUGAACUAGGGAAUUACCCGUGCUAAUACACGUAGUUAUUAAUAAUUUCAAUUUAUAUAUUUUCCUUUAAUUUUAAUAUACAAAAAUAAUGUAAUGUUUU
rnacentral:misc_RNA from 1 species